UACGUAGGGAGCAAGCGUUGUUCGGAUUUACUGGGCGUAAAGGGCGCGUAGGCGGCGCGGUAAGUCACUUGUGAAAUCUCUGAGCUUAACUCAGAACGGCCAAGUGAAACUGUUGUGCUAGAGUGCAGAAGGGGCAAUCGGAAUUCUUGGUGUAGCGGUGAAAUGCGCAGAUAUCAGGAGGAACACCGGUGGCGAAGGCGGCAUCCUGGCCCUGACCUGACGCUGAGGCGCGAGAGCGUGGGGAGCAAACCGG
rnacentral:rRNA from 1 species